AUUAAGUGUAGUUACAAGUUUCCGUGUCCGAUUUUAAUCUAUUAUCUUAUUUAAAUUUUUUUAUGAUUAAUAAAACAUAAAUAGUACUCUAUACGUGAUUUAUAUUGUUUCUUUUUUUAAAAGAAAUUAAAUAUGACGGAUGAUAAAAGUUAGAUACGAAAACUUAUGAUUACAUUUAAA
rnacentral:pre_miRNA from 1 species